rnacentral:lncRNA from 1 species
GCCAAAAAUACAUACUUUUGACCUAAAGGCUCAAUUUUGCUCUUUUAUGUAAUUUAAAAUGUUAGCUACAAUGAAUCCUAUAUUGUGUAGGAUGGGAUCUGGCCCUUAUGCAGUCCAACCUCAUCUUUGUCUGUCCUCAAAAUGAGCCUGCAGAAAGAUAUGUCUCCAGCCUGGUGCGGUGGUGCACACCUGUAAUCCCAGCCACUCAGGGGGUGAGGCAGGAGGAUCACAAACUCAGCCUCAGCAACUUAGGCCCCAAGCAACUUAGACCCUGUCUCAAAAUAUAAAUAAAUAAAUAAAUAGGACUGGGGAUGUACAGCUCAGUGGUAAAGUGUCUCUGGAUUCAAUCCCCAGUACCAAAGAAAAAAGAGAUCUCUCCCUGCCUCCAUGCAUGAGGCCGAUUUCUCCAGAGAAUUCUCCCUUCUGCCCUUUGCCUGUAAAAACUACUUCACUUCUUCAAGAAGACUUGUGCCUCUGCCCACACCCCACUUCAUGUGUUGAAGGCGUGGUCCCCAGUGCAGCAAUGUCUAGAGGUGGGCUUUCAGAAAAUGCUUGGAACAGGAGAGCUCUCGGACCUUAUCAGUUGAUCGAUUUAUUUGAUGGAUUAAUACUUUGAAUGGACUCCUGGAAUGUGGUGGAAACUAUAAGCAGGUGGGGCAUGACUGGAGGAAGCAGGUGACUGGGAACACACCCUUGGGGACUAUGUCUCCCCCACCCUUCCUGGUUGAGCAGCUGUCCACCACCAUGCCCUCUGCCGUGAUGUUCUGCUUCGCCUCAGGCUCUGAAACUGUG